rnacentral:rRNA from 1 species
UUAGAUACCCUGGUAGUCCACGCCGUAAACGAUGUCGACUUGGAGGUUGUGCCCUUGAGGCGUGGCUUCCGGAGCUAACGCGUUAAGUCGACCGCCUGGGGAGUACGGCCGCAAGGUUAAAACUCAAAUGAAUUGACGGGGGCCCGCACAAGCGGUGGAGCAUGUGGUUUAAUUCGAUGCAACGCGAAGAACCUUACCUACUCUUGACAUCCAGAGAACUUUCCAGAGAUGGAUUGGUGCCUUCGGGAACUCUGAGACAGGUGCUGCAUGGCUGUCGUCAGCUCGUGUUGUGAAAUGUUGGGUUAAGUCCCGCAACGAGCGCAACCCUUAUCCUUUGUUGCCAGCGGUUAGGCCGGGAACUCAAAGGAGACUGCCAGUGAUAAACUGGAGGAAGGUGGGGAUGACGUCAAGUCAUCAUGGCCCUUACGAGUAGGGCUACACACGUGCUACAAUGGCGCAUACAAAGAGAAGCGACCUCGCGAGAGCAAGCGGACCUCAUAAAGUGCGUCGUAGUCCGGAUUGGAGUCUGCAACUCGACUCCAUGAAGUCGGAAUCGCUAGUAAUCGUGGAUCAGAAUGCCACGGUGAAUACGUUCCCGGGCCUUGUACACACCGCCCGUCA